GAGUUUGAUCCUGGCUCAGAACGAACGCUGACGGCGUGCCUAACACAUGCAAGUCGAACGAGAAAAUCCUGGCUUGCCGGGAUGAGUAAAGUGGCGCACGGGUGAGUAACGCGUGGGUAAUCUACCUUCAAGUCAGGGAUAACAUUGCGAAAGUGAUGCUAAUACCUGAUAUGCUCACGGUUUUAUGAACAGUGGGAAAAGGUGGCCUCUGACCCAAGCUAUCGCUUGAAGAUGAGCCCGCGUACCAUUAGCUAGUUGGUAGGGUAAUGGCCUACCAAGGCGACGAUGGUUAGCUGGCCUGAGAGGGCGGCCAGCCACACUGGAACUGAGACACGGUCCAGACUCCUACGGGAGGCAGCAGUGGGGAAUAUUGCGCAAUGGGGGAAACCCUGACGCAGCGACGCCGUGUGAGUGAUGAAGGUCUUCGGAUCGUAAAGCUCUGUCGGAUGGGACGAAUGAGGACUGGGUGAAUAAUCCGGUCUAAUGACGGUACCGUCGAAGGAAGCACCGGCUAACUCCGUGCCAGCAGCCGCGGUAAUACGGAGGGUGCAAGCGUUGUUCGGAAUUACUGGGCGUAAAGGGCGUGUAGGCGGAUAUAUAAGUCAGAUGUGAAAUCCCUUAGCUUAACUAAGGAAGUGCAUCUGAAACUGUAUAUCUUGAGUACGAUAGAGGAGAGUGGAAUUCCCAGUGUAGAGGUGAAAUUCAUAGAUAUUGGGAAGAACACCGGUGGCGAAGGCGGCUCUCUGGAUCGAUACUGACGCUGAUACGCGAAAGCGUGGGGAGCAAACAGGAUUAGAUACCCUGGUAGUCCACGCUGUAAACGAUGUGCACUANGUGUUGGAAGUAAUUAAACUUUCAGUGCCGAAGCUAACGCAUUAAGUGCACCGCCUGAGGAUUACGGUCGCAGAUUAAACUCAAAGGAAUUGACGGGGCCCGCAC
rnacentral:rRNA from 1 species